GACGAAGGGGGGCUAGCGUUGUUCGGAAUUACUGGGCGUAAAGCGCGUGUAGGCGGUUGUCCAAGUUGGAUGUGAAAGCCUUGAGCUUAACUCAAGAAAUGCAUUCAGGACUGGAUUGACUAGAGGACCGGAGAGGAUAGUGGAAUUCCAGUGUAGUGGUGAAAUACGCAGAUAUCGGGGAGGAACACCAGUAGCGAAGGCGGACUCGCUGGGCCAUUCCUGACGCUGAGACGCGAAAGCUAGGGGAGCGAACGAGGA
rnacentral:rRNA from 1 species